rnacentral:rRNA from 1 species
GACGAACGCUGGCGGCGUGCUUAACACAUGCAAGUCGAACGAUGAAGCCCUUUCGGGGGUGAUUAGUGGCGAACGGGUGAGUAACACGUGGGUAACCUGCCCUGUACCCUGGGAUAAGCCUUGGAAACGAGGUCUAAUACCGGAUAUGACCUGCUCUCGCAUGGGGGUGGUGGAAAGUUUUGGCGGUGCAGGAUGGACCCGNGGCCUAUCAGCUUGUUGGUGGGGUNAUGGCCUACCAAGGCGACGACGGGUAGCCGGCCUGAGAGGGCGACCGGCCACACUGGGACUGAGACACGGCCCAGACUCCUAC